GAUGAACGCUAGCGGCAGGCUUAACACAUGCAAGUCGUGGGGCAGCGCGGACUUCGGUCUGGCGGCGACCGGCAAACGGGUGCGGAACACGUACGCAACCUCCCUCAGAGCGGGGAAUAGCCUCUCGAAAGAGAGAUUAAUACCCCAUAGUAUCUUGAAGACACAUGUCUAUGAGAUUAAAGCUUCGGCACUUUGAGAUGGGCGUGCGGCUGAUUAGGUAGUUGGUAGGGUAACGGCCUACCAAGCCGACGAUCAGUAGCUGAUGUGAGAGCAUGAUCAGCCACACGGGCACUGAGACACGGGCCCGACUCCUACGGGAGGCAGCAGUGAGGAAUAUUGGUCAAUGGAGGAAACUCUGAACCAGCCAUGUCGCGUGGAGGAUGAAGGUCCUCUGGAUUGUAAACUCCUUUUAUAAAAGAAGAAACCCCAUUUUUCUAAAUGGGUUGACGGUACUUUAUGAAUAAGCACCGGCUAACUCCGUGCCAGCAGCCGCGGUAAUACGGAGGGUGCAAGCGUUAUCCGGAUUCACUGGGUUUAAAGGGAGCGUAGGUGGGUUGGUAAGUCAGUGGUGAAAUCUCCGAGCUUAACUUGGAAACUGCCAUUGAUACUAUCGAUCUUGAAUACUGUGGAGGUAAGCGGAAUAUAUCAUGUAGCGGUGAAAUGCUUAGAUAUGAUAUAGAACACCAAUAGCGAAGGCAGCUUACUACGCAGUUAUUGACACUGAGGCUCGAAAGCGUGGGGAUCAAACAGGAUUAGAUACCCUGGUAGUCCACGCCCUAAACUAUGGAUACUCGACAUCAGCGAUACACUGUUGGUGUCUGAGCGAAAGCAUUAAGUAUCCCACCUGGGAAGUACGUCCGCAAGGAUGAAACUCAAAGGAAUUGGCGGGGGUCCGCACAAGCGGUGGAGCA
rnacentral:rRNA from 1 species